rnacentral:lncRNA from 10 species
UAGGACCCUUAUAAAAGAGGCCUGAGAGGACGCCGCUUUUUAAGCCCUCCCGAUGUGUGAGGACACACAGGAGCCACCACCCAGAGGAACAGGCCUUUAGCGGACACUGAAUCUGCUGGUGCCUUCAUCUUGGAAUUUCCAGACUCCAGAACUCUGCAGUUACCAUCCUCAAAUACAAAAGUAAUUGAUACUCAGCAAUGAAAGCUGCAUGUGCAUGUAGGGGAGAGAAGGAGGUUUCACCAGACUGACAAAUGGAGUCAUGGUUCUGGGAAGGAGCAGGGUGUUGGGUGCACAUUUGUCACCUGGGAAUACUACCAGCAAGCCUCAUAUUUUUUCUGCAAUAAAUGCUGGAAAGGAAAAAGAAAUGCUGAAAAUGAUGAAGUAAUUCCAAUUCUGCUGAUAGAGACCUGGAAAUGCACUAGGGAAAAAUGACAAGAGUGUAACACACUGCUGCUGAUUAUGUCAUAAUGAUUAUUUUAUGCAGUUUGAAGAAGACUCACUGUUCUAAAGAACCAGCAUCCAUUUCCAGGAAAGAGCAGGGAUUCUCCAUCCAUACCUCCAUGGGAUGAACCACAUUGAAAAUAAUGAUUUCCUUCUAAUAGCUUACUCUACAUUAUAUAAAGAAUUCCUUGGGAUUCUAAAAAAACCCUAAUAAUAUAGUAAUAAUAACAACAGAGGUUUGUUUUUGCUAUUUGUAGUCUAAUAUUCAGAUUGUGAGCAGCUGUUUUGGAAGGCAAGAUGAGUGAAUAGAUGUGAAGUCGUCUUAGAAAUGUCCAGGCUUCCAAAAGAAAUUUCACUUUUAAAAGAAAAUAGCCUAAUGUGAACCACAUUAGAAUCAGCACAUCUAAUCCUACGGAGAAAAAGUGACCAUGGCUGUCUACACAUAUAGGCAGGUCAUUCAAGCUCAUUCAAAAAUUCCACUUUCACUGGUGGUCUGUCUGUGUCCACAUGGUGACAAAUGGCCCCGGCAGGGUUUUUGAGGUGUUGGCACCACCAGUGAGUGCCAGAUGGAAUGUGGUGAAAGUUCUGAUUUGUACCUUUCAGACUAAAGGUACUUUCCAGAAUGGACGGGUCCUUCUGGCUGCCUUUUGUAAGUGCAGCCACAGGUAUUCUGUUGAAGCCUGUGGGUGAGAAAGACAUAAACAGGUGCUAUAAAUUUGUCAGACCAGGAAGCCACAGGCCGUUUAGUAAAUGGUAAACCCAAUGGCCCAAAAGAACAAAGGGGUCUCUUUUCAUCAGAAUGAUCAGGCUCAUUCAACAAAUAUUUAUUGAGCACCCACUUUCUGCCAGAUGGAAGAGCCACUGACAAGGCCUCUUAUUUAAAGAGUGCCUGAAGUGAGGAAGCAAACCCCCAAAUCAUCUGGGAUGGUAUGAACUGAACUCUGGACCGCAACAUGAUGGAAAGGAGGAGCUGGGGUCCCAAGGGCAGUCCAGACAACCUGAACCUGUGACACUCACCCUGCCCACACACUCUCAGAGCUGCAGCUUUCACGGGGGUGACAUGAAUGCUUGUAAAUGAGCUUGCUGAAUGGGAGACCAAGAACGAUGAUAUUGAGCUGUUACUACAUGCCAGACAUUUAACCCUUUCAUCCAGGUUAUCUCAAUCAUUCCUUACAGAAAGGCUUUUGAGAUGUCCUUGCAACUGGAGGUGCCAUAUGAUACAGUUCUGCCCAAAGACAAGAAAGUGAAUGUCUGUUGAGGGCUUCCUAUAAGGCCAAUACAUACAGGUGUUCCCAACAACAGAUAAAUCAAGACUUCCCACUAUCCAACUGUAAAGUUCCCAAUCAUCAACAACUUCAUGCCCACCCUCCACCACAAAGGGAAAGGAAACUGCCCUUAGCAUCCCUGAAGGGAUUUUGCCUUGCUUGUGUCUCAAAACUCUUCUGUGCUCUGUGACCCAGGAUGUCAGCGUAUCAUCAAACAACACUCUGAUUUUUUUUUUUUUUUUACCUUAUCUCCUGUUCUUAGACCUUGGCCUCUCUUCCUCAGUGUACUGAAUCAGCUUUUGCUAUAAUUUUGGUGACUCAUAUUGGCCCUGAUCAUUAUUGGAAUCCCGUAAGUUUCAUAUUCUGCUCCAAGAAACAUUUGGAUAAAUUGAGAAAAACUAAUAGCCUUUCAUGGUAAUAACAGUCUACUCCCUUCAUGAUGUCAACAAAUGCUAUCAGAGUCCACACAAGACCUCCCAAACAUUUCUGAUGAUCAGAGACAAGAUACCGUCUUAUAUACCAAAAACCUCAGAUGGAAAAGCUCCUGCCAUCCUGGGCAGCACAUGGUAGAGGGGAGGCAGCCACUGACCUUCUGGGUAAUCUGUCAUGACGACCUGAUAGCAGACCGGCAGGAUGCUCCAAACUGUCACCAAAGAUGUCACGAGUGCUUCUGAGGCUCAAGAAUCUAAUUUUCCUUACUUAAAAUAAAAGGACUGAAUGCUGGAUGAAUAACCCUUUUUUUCACCCCCUAAACAAAUCUCAUAGGGAAUCCUAAUAUAUAAAAUAACCAAAGUGCAAGCCCUGGGUUAAAGCCGAGGAUGGGUGCUAGAGAUGGGCUAGAGCAUGUCUGCUUAGCUUUCUUCCACUAUCCCAGCCAUUUAAAGACCACAAGUUAGCUUCCUGGAAUUCAGUUUGACAAACACUUAGGCUAGAUCAUUGUCAGGGGACCUUCAUUUCAAGCUCCAUGGAGUAGGUCGGGGACUCUGCCUUGGUCAUCCCUGAAUCCCCACAGCCAUGGUUCUAGCACACAGUAAGCACUAAAAACCAAAACCCAAAAACCCGUAUGAUAAUGUAUGUCUACAGACAUUCGAUGAAUGGAUGAAUAAAAGAUUUUUCAGAUACCAUGAGAUGUGUUUAUCUAUUUAAGAUUAUAACUCCAUUGACCAAUAGAGUUGGGUUUUAAGCUAUAACCCCCCAAUCUGACCAU